AAUGCAAAUACUCCUCUUAAGGUCCUCUGAGAGGGAGGAACAAACCUACAGGAAACAGUAAGGCUCUAGAGACAUACAAACACAUAGAGAAGAUGCUGAGUGAUCUGGAGAGACGCCGUGAGAUGGAAGGAGAGGCUGUGCUGAAGGCUGAGUUUCCCAGAGGAAGCAGUGGCUCAUUGGCAGCCUCUGCUGCAGGAAGGGAGGCGCUGCCAGGCACAGUCACAGGAGAUUGGGACCGUGACUUGAAGCGUUUGGAAAGAGUGAUAAACCACGGUUUAAGGAUCUUGAAGUCUGGUGAAGCUGAACGUGAGGAUGAAGAGGAUCUGGAUUCCCAACCCAUACCCAUUACUGAGCCUCUGGGAGAUGGUGAGGGUGUGGCUGCAGAGAAGACUUUCUCAGGUCCUUUGGUGGAUGUUGCUCGCAAGCCCAGCUUCCAUCGCAGGGGUCCCCUGAGAGGAAAGAACAAACAUAUAGGAAGGAGUAAAUCCAGGGAGGAAUCAAAACAUCUUGAAGAAAUCCUGAGUGAUCUGGAGAGACAGCAUGGUGGGUGCAUUUCCCUCCCCCUUCCCCUGGGACUCAGCAGCCGGGGGCUGUCCCUGCAGAUCUGGACAGGCCGUGCCUGGCACAGCAGGAAGGGAUCCAUGGCAGCCUCGCUGCCCCGCUGCUGCUCUCACGGCCUGCAGGGCUGUUUC
rnacentral:lncRNA from 1 species